GACAGAGGGGGCAAGCGUUGCUCGGAAUCACUGGGCGUAAAGGGCGCGUAGGCGGGAUGGCAAGUCGGUCGUGAAAUCCUUCGGCUCAACCGAAGAACGUCGGCCGAUACUGCCGUUCUUGAGGGAUGCAGAGGAGAUUGGAAUUCCCGGUGUAGCGGUGAAAUGUGUAGAGAUCGGGAGGAACACCGGUGGCGAAGGCGGGUCUCUGGGCAUCUCCUGACGCUGAGUCGCGAAAUCGUGGGGAGCAAACAGG
rnacentral:rRNA from 1 species